UACGUAGGGGGCAAGCGUUAUCCGGAUUUACUGGGUGUAAAGGGAGCGUAGACGGCAAUGCAAGUCUGGAGUGAAAGGCGGGGGCCCAACCCCCGGACUGCUCUGGAAACUGUAUAGCUGGAGUGCAGGAGAGGUAAGUGGAAUUCCUAGUGUAGCGGUGUAAUGCGUAGAUAUUAGGAGGAACACCAGUGGCGAAGGCGGCUUACUGGACUGUAACUGACGUUGAGGCUCGAAAGCGUGGGGAGCAAACAGG
rnacentral:rRNA from 1 species